rnacentral:lncRNA from 1 species
GAGAGCAGUGGGCGGCGGGACUCAGGCCCGUGCCCGCGCCACUGGGCGUUCUUGGAAAACGCUGAUUUCCUGCCAUGAAAUGGGCGGAGACCUCGAGAGUUUGCAAUCCGGGGUAUUGCUAGCUGCCAGCCGGAGGGACAUCAGUCACGUGACCGCGUUCUGCCUGCAGGACCCGCUGUGAGCUCCUCCGAGCCAGGCUUCUACCUCCGCCUCCCUCGCUUGAUUCCCGGACGAAGAGCUGUCUUCCCCUUCCCCCACGUGAGGAUGUAGCCACAAGGUACCAUCUACGGAGCACAGAACAAGCCCUUAGCAGACACCGAAUCUGCCAGUGCCUUGAGCUUGGACUUCCCAGACUACAGAACUAUGAGAAAUGAGUUUCUAUUACUUAUAAAUUAUGCAGUCUAAGGAAUUGUGUGAUAGCAGCCAGAGAGACUAAGACAUUCUGGUUCACAGGACCUUAUCAACAACUCAGACAUCCCCAAACUGAAAACUGGACCUUAUUUAUUAACGUACUCAGUUCUUAAACUUGUCCUGAAUGGAUGUGAGGUUAUUUAUCAUCUUUAAAAAAAAAAUCUUAUUUAGUGUGAAUAUCCAUACAUUUCACUGCAGCAAUAUUGUGUUUGAUACUGAGGUGUUGCUGCAGGCCCCACUGGAGUACCAUGAGAAUCAUGGCCCAUAUUACCUUUCUAAAAUCUAAUAAAUCCUGAAAUCUAAAACCUAU